GAGAUACUUCCUCCGUCCCAAAAUUCUUUUCUUAAAUUUUUCUAGAUAUGGAUGUAUCUAGUCACGUUUUAGUAUUUUGAUACAUCCAUUUCUAGACAAACCUAAGACAAGAAUUUUGGGACAGAGGGAGUACCAU
rnacentral:pre_miRNA from 1 species